GGCUUUGUAGCUCACCUGGCUCGGUGUUGAAGCAUGGUGUUUCUGUCGCUGGUUCGAAUCCAGCCGAAGCCU